UAUGGCUAUAGCAUGUUGAAACCCCAGUUCUCAUAUGAUCAUAAAAGUUAAGCAAUAUUGAGCCUGGUCAGUACUUAGAUGGGUGACUGUUUGGGAAUACUAGGUGUAGUAAG